rnacentral:rRNA from 1 species
CCUACGGGUGGCAGCAGUGGGGAAUAUUGCACAAUGGGGGAAACCCUGAUGCAGCGACGCCGCGUGAGCGAUGAAGUAUUUCGGUAUGUAAAGCUCUAUCAGCAGGGAAGAAAAUGACGGUACCUGACUAAGACGCCCCGGCUAACUACGUGCCAGCGGCCGCGGUAAUACGUAGGGGGCAAGCGUUAUCCGGAUUUACUGGGUGUAACGGGAGCGUAGACGGUCCUGCAAGCCAGAUGUGAAAGCCCGGGGCGCAACCCCGGGACUGCAUUUGGAACUGUAAGGCUAGAGUGUCGGAGAGGCAGGCGGAAUUCCUAGUGUAGCGGUGAAAUGCGUAGAUAUAUGGAAGAACACCAGUGGCGAAGGCGGCCGCCUGGCCUGUUACUGACGCUGAGGCACGAAAGCGUGGGGAGCAAAUAGGAUUAGAUACCCGUGUAGUC